GCGGGUGUAGCUCAGUUGAUUAGAGCGCUGCCUUGCCAUGGCAGAGGUCGAGGGUUUGAGUCCCUUCACCCGCUCCA
rnacentral:tRNA from 1 species